GCCUGGCUAGCUCAGUUGGUAGAGCCUGAGACUCUUAAUCUCAGGCUCAUGGGUUCAAGCCCCAUGCUGGGCG
rnacentral:tRNA from 1 species